rnacentral:misc_RNA from 1 species
UUUCCGUAGGUGAACCUGCGGAAGGAUCAUUACAGUGUUCCCUGCCCUUCGGGGUAGGAUCGCCACCCUUGAUUAUUUAUGAGUGUUGCUUUGGCGGGCCUCGCGGCCUGGCCGCGCCCCGGCUUCGGCGGGGGAGCGCCCGCCAGAGGAUUCUACAAACCUGAUUAUUAGUGUCGUCUGAGUACUAUAUAAUAGCUAAAACUUUCAACAACGGAUCUCUUGGUUCUG